rnacentral:SRP_RNA from 1 species
GCUGGGUGUGGUUACACACACCUGUAGUCCCAGCUACUUGGGAGGCUGAGACAGGAGGAUCACUUGAGCCCGGGAAGUCAAGGUUGCAGUGAGCCAUCAUGACGUCACUGCACUCCAGCCUGGGCAAGAGAGCAAGACCCUGUCUCAA